GGUGCAUCAGGUUGGGUGAAAUCGUGACGUUUCGGUCCCAGUUUCGUAUGUGCUGUGAACCAGUGUACCACUAAAUGUAAAGCAUCAAAGAAGUGUUAGUGCUGGAACGUCACGGCACCUCAUAUUUGGUGUGCAUGGUUAAUAAGCAAGGUUUCUGAAUGUGAGUAAGGCUGUUACAUGCUAGAUACAGCACCACAUGCUAGUUUGUGAGGGUUUAAUAAGUAAUGAUUCUGAAUGCGAGUAAGGCUGUUACAUGCUAGGUAAAGCACUACACGCUAGUCAAGUCCUUAAGUAAUAUACGCUGUUCCAUUUAAUUUGAGGCUAGUAACUGAUCAUACUGUUCAAUUUGUGCCUUUAUCAUAGAAAAGGUCAUAGAUGUGGCAUAAAGAAUGACUUAACAUGGCAGGUGAAGUAUGUUUCUUGAUUAAUGACAGAACUUUAUUGUUGCAGCAGUGUAUACAACAAGGGAGAAGAUCGGGUCAUGCCGGCCACCCCCUAAACAUGAGGCAAAAAGUCUCGGGCGUCCGUCAGGAGAAGGAGCGCGUCCCGCCACAAGUCUGGCACCGGCGUCCCUACAUCUGCGUCCUGCCACUACUGAAGGGAGAACAAACCAGCGUGUCCUAACCCCCGUUCAGCGAGGACACAUUGCCUCGCUGCACCUUCCACGGAGGAAUUGGACCCUGCCUUACACCAACUGCCCUGACAACACGAGCUACCAUCCACAGAGGGAGGACACAGCCUCGCUGCACCUUCUACGGAGGAAUCGGACCCUGCCUCGCACUCGCUGUGUCCUGACACCUGGUGCCAUCCAGGGAGGAAGGACACACUGCCUCGCUGCACCUUCUACGGAGGAAUUGGAUCCUGCUCCGCACCAGCUGUCCUGGUAACACGUGGUGCCAUCCAGGGAAGGAGGGUAUUGCCUCGCUGCACCUUCCAUAGAGGAAUAGGACCCUGCCCUGACCACAGGCGGUGCCAUCCAGGGAUGGAGGACAGAACUUCCUCGCUUUAUCUAACUUAACCAAUAAAUGUUGCCAAUCACUCGUGUAAUGUUAUUCUUUCCAUCUAAUGUGAAUGUACUCGCAUAAGUGUAAUGAUUUUUCCUUCCAUGUUCUGUAAUGUACCCCUAUGUCUGGUGUUACUACUUAAUAAUAAAUCGAUUAAGAAAAUUGUUA